GGUGACAUGUCACCCCCUUUUGAGUUAGUACCUUUGUUUGUUUGCUUAAAUCAAACAUGUAUUUGUGGCAUUUCAUGUGCAUCCAGUCCAACUUGUCACCCCCCAUUUCAUGUAACUCAUACUUUGUCACCCCCAUUUCAUGUAACUAAUAUUUUGUCACCCCCCUUUUUGUAACCCUGGCUACGGGCCUGGUUAAUUGCACGAUUUGCAUCAAGAGUAGAUUAUUAGUUAAUUUUAUUAUAUAUUACAGUUUUGAUUUGGUAAAGAUCAGUUGGGUACAAUAUACAAUGACGGGUUCUGUGAUUUCAAAAAGUAUUCAUUACACAAUCACUUAACGCUCAAGAGUCUGUUGGUAAGGUUUUGUGGUUUCUAUGAGACCCAUCGUGGUACGUAGAUCUACUCAGUUAACAAAAGUGACAGGAGGUUUCUGUUCCAUGGUCACAGUAAGAGUACAAAUGGUUCAUUAUUGCCUGGCCAAGGAUUGGAUUGUACUGUACUGUACCUAGACUAGUGG